UUCCGGUUGAUCCUGCCGGAGGUUAUUGCUAUCAGGGUUUGACUAAGCCAUGCGAGUCGAGAGGUGUAAGACCUCGGCAUACUGCUCAGUAACACAUGGAUAAUCUGCCCUUAGGUGGAGGAUAUCCCCGGGAAACUGGGACUAAUACUCCAUAGUGGAUAUAUGCUGGAAUGCUGUAUCCUCGAAAGAUUAAUCGCCUAAGGAUGAGUCUGUGCCCGAUUAGGUUGUUGGCGGGGUAACGGCCCACCAAGCCAUUGAUCGGUACGGGUUGUGGGAGCAAGAUCCCGGAGAUGGAUUCUGAGACAUGAAUCCAGGCCCUACGGGGCGCAGCAGGCGCGCAAACUUUACAAUGCGAGCAAUCGUGAUAAGGAAACCCUGAGUGCCUGUCGAUGCAGGCUGUUCAUAUAUCUAAAUCAUAUGUGAAGAAAGGGCAGGGCAAGACCGGUGCCAGCCGCCGCGGUAAUACCGGCUGCUCGAGUGAUAACCACUAUUACUGGGUUUAAAGCGUCCGUAGCUUGAUUGUUAGGUCUCUUGGGAAAUCUUCACGCUCAACGUGAAGGCGUCUAAGAGAUACCGGCAAUCUUGGAACUGGGAGAGGUAAACCGUACUUCGGGGGUAGGAGUGAAAUCUUGUAAUCCUCGAGGGACGACCUAUGGCGAAGGCAGUUUACCAGAACAGCUUCGACAGUGAGGGACGAAAGCUGGGGGAGCAAACGGGAUUAGAUACCCCGGUAGUCCCAGCCGUAAACAAUGUGCGUUAGGUCUGUCGGUAACCACGUGUUACUGAUGAGCCGAAGAGAAAUCGUGAAACGCACCACCUGGGAAGUACGGUCGCAAGGCUGAAACUUAAAGGAAUUGGCGGGGGAGCACCACAACAGGUGGAGCCUGCGGUUUAAUUGGAGUCAACGCCGGA
rnacentral:rRNA from 1 species